rnacentral:tRNA from 1 species
GACGGUAUAGCUCAGAGGUAGAGCACAUGCUUAGGGUGCAUGAGGUCCCAGGUUCAAUCCCCAGUGCCUCCU